rnacentral:rRNA from 1 species
UCCUAAUCAUAUUAAUUUAAAGAAUGCGCCCUAAGCUAAGCAGGGUUGGGCCUGGUUAGUACUUGGAUGGGAGACUACCUAGGAAGACCAGGUGCUAUAGGCG